CAAAUCCAGCACCUACGUCCACUCUCCAAGUCCUCUUACUUAGAAUUCUAUUAUAAUUCUCUUGAUUGUAGUAUGAUUAUUUUAAUAGAAUUUAUAAUCAACUCAAUCGAUUAUUUUAGCAGACUCACAAUCAAUCAAGUUGAUUUUACAUAGGAAAUCAAGCAAAAUCUUCUCAAUUAAGUCAUCCCUAGACUUAAUCAAUAUAACAUCUAAUUACGGACUUGGACAAGUCUAUCCCAUAAGUUUUUAUCUCAAGAAACUUGUAAAGAGAUAAAAUAUAUAAUAGAAGUUGAAAAGAAUAAGUAAGAGAAUAAGAAACAUAAAACUCGUUGAAGUCGACAAUGAAUGCUCGUUGAAGCUUUAACUUUUUUCUUCAAUAAAUAAGAAGCUUUUUGAUGAUAACUGAGGAUUUUU
rnacentral:lncRNA from 1 species